UACGUAGGAUGCAAGCGUUGUCCGGAAUUAUUGGGCGUAAAGAGCGCGCAGGCGGUAUGACAAGUCAGAUGUGAAAGAGGCCGGCUUAACCGGCAAGGGUCAUUUGAAACUGUCAGACUAAAGUGCAGCAGAGGAUAGUGGAAUUCCCGGUGUAGCGGUGAAAUGCGCAGAUAUCGGGAGGAACACCAAUGGCGAAGGCAGCUCGCUGGGACGUGACUGACGCUGAGACGCGAAAGCGUGGGGAGCAAACAGG
rnacentral:rRNA from 1 species